UGGUAUCAUCCAAAGAGGAAACCAGUGAGAGCCGGGAUUGAAACUGGAUGUUCCCAGGUCCAUCCUCUGGAGCACACUGAACUCAACAUCCCCUACAAGGAUCUGGAGGUGUUGAGUCACUGCCAUCUUCUUAUCUUCAUCCCAAGGGAUCGUGUGUUGCUGUCAGUGCUUCCCACUGUGGCCAUUGUGAGUGGGCAUGCGGAACCCUGGAGCCAGCAUUGGGAUGAGAUGCCAAUGACACCUCUGAGCCUCCUGAUCCGCAUCCUCUUUGGUAAGCAGUGGUCCUGGAACUGGAUUUAUCCCCCUUGCACCCACAGCCCAGCCCCAGCUGGUGUAAGGGAGUG
rnacentral:lncRNA from 14 species